rnacentral:lncRNA from 1 species
GCAAGGCAGCCCAGUUUCGCGAAGGCUGUCGGCGCGCCGCGGCCCGCAGGCACCCGGCACGCGCCUUCCCCGCAGGCACCCGGCACGCGCCUUCCCCGCCGCCACGAUGCCCAAGAGGAAGGUCAGCUCCGCCGAAGGCGCCGCCAAGGAAGAGCCCAAGAGGAGAUCGGCGCGGUUGUCAGCUAAACCUCCUGCAAAAGUGGAAGCGAAGCCGAAAAAGGCAGCAGCGAAGUGUAGGUAGAAGUUUAGCACUGCAGUCAUCAGAAGAGGCAAGAUUAAUUUCCUUGACAUUGAGGAGUUGUUGGAUAAUUACUAAAUUUGUCCUUGUUAAAUAAAGAUUCUUCAAACACCUAAAUGAAAGUGAUAAAUUCAAAACUGAUCCUUUUAGUUCCUCAUUAUAUGAUAUGAAGGGAUUAACUGUAGCAGGAUAGUCAACCUGACCGUACGGCAUGGUGCUUUUUUUCAGGAUAAAUCUUCAGACAAAAAAGUGCAAACAAAAGGGAAAAGGGGAGCAAAGGGAAAACAGGCCGAAGUGGCUAACCAAGAAACUAAAGAAGACUUACCUGCGGAAAACGGGGAAACGAAGACUGAGGAGAGUCCAGCCUCUGAUGAAGCAGGAGAGAAAGAAGCCAAGUCUGAUUAAUAACCAUAUACCAUGUCUUAUCAGUGGUCCCUGUCUCCCUUCUUGUACAAUCCAGAGGAAUAUUUUUAUCAACUAUUUUGUAAAUGCAAGUUUUUUAGUAGCUCUAGAAACAUUUUUAAGAAGGAGGGAAUCCCACCUCAUCCCAUUUUUUAAGUGUAAAUGCUUUUUUUUAAGAGGUGAAAUCAUUUGCUGGUUGUUUAUUUUUUGGUACAACCAGAAAAUAGUGUGGGAUAUUGAAUUAUGGGAGGCUCUGACUGUCUCGGGUGUCAGCUUAACAUUCCACAGAUGGGGGGUUAGUUUUUAUAUCCUAUAAUACAAAGCAUAUUAAAUGGCAAUAUGGAGUCAGUCCUGCAUUUAAUGUCUUGAACAUUUUAAAUUACUUCUAUUACCAUGUUGUUUUUUAGUAGAAUUGUUUCCUAAAGAAAACCACUCUUUGAUCAUGGCUCUCUCUGCCAGAAUUGUGUGCACUCUGUAACAUCUUUGUGGUAGUCCUGUUUUCCUAAUAACUUUGUUACUGUGCUGUGAAAGAUUACAGAUUUGAACAUGUAGUGUACGUGCUGUUGAGUUGUGAACUGGUGGGCCGUAUGUAACAGCUGACCAACGUGAAGAUACUGGUACUUGAUAGCCUCUUAAGGAAAAUUUGCUUCCAAAUUUUAAGCUGGAAAGUCACUGGAAUAACUUUAAAAAAGAAUUACAAUACAUGGCUUUUUAGAAUUUCGUUACGUAUGUUAAGAUUUGUGUACAAAUUGAAAUGUCUGUACUGAUCCUCAACCAAUAAAAUCUCAGUUAUGAAAAUAUUUUGAAGCACAUGG